rnacentral:rRNA from 1 species
UACGGGAGGCAGCAGUGGGGAAUAUUGCACAAUGGGCGAAAGCCUGAUGCAGCUAUGCCGCGUGUAUGAAGAAGGCCUUAGGGUUGUAAAGUACUUUCAUCGGGGAGGAAAAAACAAAACUAAUAAUUUUAUUUCUUGACGUUACCCGAAAAAGAAGCACCGGCUAACUCCGUGCCAGCAGCCGCGGUAAUACGGAGGGUGCUAGCGUUAAUCAGAAUUACUGGGCGUAAAGAGCACGUAGGUGGUUUUUUUAAAGUCAGAUGUGAAAUCCCUGGGCUUAACCUAGGAACUGCAUUUUGAAACUGAAAUACUAGAGUAUCGUAGAGGGAGGUAGAAUUCUAGGUGUAGCGGUGAAAUGCGUAGAUAUCUGGAGGAAUACCUGUGGCGAAAGCGGCCUCCUAAACGAAUACUGACACUGAGGUGCGAAAGCGUGGGGAGCAAACAGGGAUUAGAUA